rnacentral:rRNA from 1 species
CCUACGGGAGGCAGCAGUAGGGAAUCUUCCGCAAUGGACGAAAGUCUGACGGAGCAACGCCGCGUGAGUGAUGAAGGUUUUCGGAUCGUAAAACUCUGUUGUUAGGGAAGAACAAGUGUGAGAGUAACUGCUCACACCUUGACGGUACCUAACCAGAAAGCCACGGCUAACUACGUGCCAGCAGCCGCGGUAAUACGUAGGUGGCAAGCGUUGUCCGGAAUUAUUGGGCGUAAAGCGCUCGCAGGCGGUCUUUUAAGUCUGAUGUGAAAGCCCACGGCUUAACCGUGGAGGGUCAUUGGAAACUGGAGGACUUGAGUACAGAAGAGGAGAGUGGAAUUCCACGUGUAGCGGUGAAAUGCGUAGAGAUGUGGAGGAACACCAGUGGCGAAGGCGACUCUCUGGUCUGUAACUGACGCUGAGGAGCGAAAGCGUGGGGAGCGAACAGGAUUAGAUACCCUGGUAGUCCACGCCGUAAACGAUGAGUGCUAGGUGUUAGGGGGUUUCCGCCCCUUAGUGCUGCAGUUAACGCAUUAAGCACUCCGCCUGGGGAGUACGGCCGCAAGGCUGAAACUCAAAAGAAUUGACGGGGACCCGCACAAGCGGUGGAGCAUGUGGUUUAAUUCGACGCAACGCGAAGAACCUUACCAGGUCUUGACAUCCUCUGACAACCCUAGAGAUAGGGCUUUCCCUUCGGGGACAGAGUGACAGGUGGUGCAUGGUUGUCGUCAGCUCGUGUCGUGAGAUGUUGGGUUAAGUCCCGCAACGAGCGCAACCCUUGAUCUUAGUUGCCAGCAUUUAGUUGGGCACUCUAAGUGACUGCCGGUGACAAACCGGAGGAAGGGGGGGAUGACGUCAAAUCAUCAUGCCCCUUAUGACCUGGGCUACACACGUGCUACAAUGGAUGGAACAAAGGGAAGCUAAACCGCGAGGUCAGCAAUCCCAUAAACCAUUCCUCAGUUCGGAUUGUAGGCUGCAACUCGGCCUACAUGAAGCCGGAAUCGCUAGUAAUCG